UGGAAGUUUGAUCCUGGCUCAGAGCGAACGCUGGCGGCAGGCCUAACACAUGCAAGUCGAACGAACUCUUCGGAGUUAGUGGCGGACGGGUGAGUAACACGUGGGAACGUGCCUUUAGGUUCGGAAUAACUCAGGGAAACUUGUGCUAAUACCGAAUGUGCCCUUCGGGGGAAAGAUUUAUCGCCUUUAGAGCGGCCCGCGUCUGAUUAGCUAGUUGGUGAGGUAAAGGCUUACCAAGGCGACGAUCAGUAGCUGGUCUGAGAGGAUGAUCAGCCACAUUGGGACUGAGACACGGCCCAAACUCCUACGGGAGGCAGCAGUGGGGAAUCUUGCGCAAUGGGCGAAAGCCUGACGCAGCCAUGCCGCGUGAAUGAUGAAGGUCUUAGGAUUGUAAAAUUCUUUCACCGGGGACGAUAAUGACGGUACCCGGAGAAGAAGACCCCGCUAACUUC
rnacentral:rRNA from 1 species